UGCCUUAAGAAUUAAGAUAAAAAAGAAGAAGACCCAUUUCUGUUUAGCCAAGCCCUAAAAUUCUCAAUCCUUUUCAGUUUGAAGUUUGAAGCUUUAAGCCUUCAUUCUUGUCAAAAUUUAUGCAGCUCCAUCAUCAUUCUCAUUCAUCUUAUUAUGGAUAAUGAGGGCGUGAAGAAAAGGGCUAAAACCACAUCAUCAUCAUCAUCAAUGGUGGCUGGUGAUGAUGAUGACAGAAUUUCGAAAUUACCUGAUUCAGUGAUCAUUCACAUUCUAUCAUUUCUCCCAACUGAAGAUGUGGUUCAGACAUGCAUUCUUUCUAAGCGUUGGAAGCUCAUUUGGUAUUCUAUUCCCACUAUCUCUUUCUCCUAUAAUAUUGAAUUGAAACAAGACCAGCAAAAGUUUUAUACUUAUAUGAAAAAAUAUUUGAAACACCGGAAGAAAGCUAUGGAUAAUAUCACUGAUUUAGUCAUAACUAGUUUUAAUCUUAAGAUAAAUGAUUUCUAUCAAAGAAGUAAAGCUGGUCUCUUAGAUAAAUGGUUAGCUUUUUGCAGUUGAGAAUAAGGUCAAGGAAUUACAUCUUAAGAUAGGCCUAGGGAAAAAGAGAAUGUUUAUGUACUACCCUGAGUACUACUACUGCUUACCCAAAGUAGUAGACAAUGCAACAUAUUUGACAGUUUUGGAGUUAGAUGGGGUAGAGUUGGACACUUCUUGUUCAUUUAGUUUUCCGUCUUUGAAAAUUUUGUCAUUGGAAGAAAUUCACCAAGCAGAUACUUCAAAAGAUAAUGUGGAUGUGGUGUUUAAGUUUUUGUUGGGUUGUCCUUGUCUUGAGAAAUUGCGGUUACAUAAUUAUGAAUUCUUGCGCGGUGAUGGUAAGCUCCCACUGCAAAGUUUAGGCCUUAAGUUCUUGGAACUGAAAAGAACAGAUAAUCAGGAUGAUUUACGAAUUGAAGCUAUAAAUCUUGAAUCUUUAGUAAUAAGUGGUGAUUCUGCAGACAAUGUAAAUCUCUCUGCUUGCAAGAAAAUUAGAAAUCUCUCAUUUGAUGAUACUGGUGAUAUUUUCGAGCUAUCAUUAAAUGCUCUUAUUUCUAAUUAUCCUCUUCUUGAGAAUUUGACUUUGAGAUUCAAGUAUACAAAUGAUGAACAUCUCAAAAUCUCGGGUCAAUGCUUGAAAUUUUUCAAUUUUAAGAAUCUUUGCUGUAAACCGUGCAAUAUUACAAUUGAAUCAGCUCCUAAAUUAGGAUACUUUUGUUAUGAAGGUUAUCUUGAUCUAAGCAUAUUGAUAGAGCCAUCUAAUUCCUUGAGUGGAAAAAUUGUGAUUUGUGAGGGAUACAAUGAUGGAUAUAAUGGCUAUGAUAGUAUUUGGUUUACAGAUAUGCUGAAUUUUCUUUUGAAUCUCAAUUGCUCUUGGAAUGCGAUUAGCCUACAUGUUAAAGAAUAUGAGGCUCUCAUUUGGCCAGAAAAAUUGAAGAGGGUGUGUCGUUCUCCAUUGCUUAAUUGGAAGCAUCUCAAAGUUAUUACUAAUUAUGGUAAUCCUGAAAGAAUAUCGGAUUUGAAGGAGUCGUUGACGUGGAUUCGCCUUCUUUAGAAACACUGUCUAUUAAUGAAAAACGUAUAUUUUAGUUUAAGAAUGACUGUCGUUUUUUAGUUUUAGAAAAUGGUACUGUUUUCCGUUAUGAGAUUCUGUUUAUUUUAUUAGUAGCCUUGUACUGAUGAUGAACUUGACUACUUUUACUUUACAUAUGAAUGAGAUAUUUCUUUCUUAUAUUUUACUGUGAACUAGUUGAUAUUGUCCUACUUAUUGAUGAUAUUGUUA